ensembl:snRNA U6 U6 spliceosomal RNA
GUGCUCAUUUUGGCAACACAUAUAUUAACAUUGAAAUGAUACAGAAAAGAUGAGCAUGAACCCUGAACAAGGAUAAUAGGCAGAUUUGGGAAAGGUGCUAUCCCUUC